CGCCACCCAGACCGGAAGUGGCAAACUGCCCUGGGCCCGGAGCUUCCCGGGAAGUGCCUUAGGGACCCCCCUUAGGGAAAGGGGCAGGAAGCAGGAGGCCAGGCCAACAGGGCCUUGGGUCCCUUGCCUUACUUAACCAAGAUACACUGCUGUUGUCUGCAUUAUGUGAGUUCCAUUGAAAAAAGACAACAACUGGUCAACAACAACAACAAAAAAGGUACUGUUUGUUUCUACCUCCUAGUUUUAUAGAUGAGAAAACUCUGAAUUAUAUAACUGAAAAUCCUUCCUUCCUUCCUUCCUUCCUUCCUUCCUUCCUUCCCCCUUUUCUUCCUUCCUUUUUUCUCUCCAUUCAUUAGAGUUUGCAUGGUCCCCACACUAGGGACCUUAUUCUUGUCCUUACCUUGCAGCUAGCCCUGAGUGGCCACGUCAGGACGCUCUGGCUCACAGAGCGCGUGGAGUGAUGCGAUCUUCUGCGCGGCCCCCCAGGAAGGGGGCUGUUUGCCUUCCCCUUCCUGUUCCUGUGUGCCCAGGUGCCAGCUCACCAACGGUCAGUGACUCAGCCUUGACACCCCCCCCCCCCCCCGUGAGGACAACUCUGGGGCAGGGGUCCCCGGCCUUUCUGUGCCACGAACUUCCUCGGCAGUCUGGUGAAGCCUGGGGACGUUACCAGCAUCUUGUUUUUUAAAUGCAUAAAAUAAAACACACGAGAUUACAGAAGGAAGCAGUUGUACUGAAAGACGGACGUCAAAAUAACGGAACACACGUAGACGUUUGUGACAGAGGAGCGAUGCGCUUCUUUAUUAACAUUCAGUGGUGAAGCCUAGCAGCAGGAUUGACAGCAAAUCGUAAUUCUGAAAGAGUAAUAAAUGUGAACUGAGAGCUUGGGGUAUCUGUACUAUUACAGUAUGAUAUGGAAACGUAGGCGAUUUCUGCCGGCCACGGAGUCCCUGAUCCUGCCCUUAUUAUAGUGGUUUGUUGCCACAUUCCUAAUGGAAAGGAAUGCUAAGUUUCACUUAGAGGUUGGUGAAAAUGCAGACGCAUUUUUGUUUCGUGCCCGUUCAUCUUGGGUUCUCUCUGUGGAGUCCGCGUUCAGAACUGCGUUGGGAGCUGGCAGAGAAAAUCCGUUUUCUCUUUUAGACAUUUACGUCAAGAGUUCCGUGUCAGUCGCCCUUCCCAGCCAUCUCCUUCUCUCUGGUGUGUAGACGAUGCCUGGAUAGGGGUCGUGUGGGGAGCAGGUGUUCAGUUACUUUGUGCUGAAUUAACACGAAUCCGCACGAUCGGGCCCCCGAACCUGGAAGAGUAGAGUCAGUGGGGCUCUGGGCAGUGAAGUCCUGUGUUUAACCCUUGAGUCUGUCCUUUACUGGCUCUGCCACUGCGAGUAGCUGUUUACGCUCAGCCUUAGUGGUGACAUUUGUUAAAACGGGGAUAAUAGUUUCUUGAAGUGUCCAAAGUCCAAUGGGAUAGACCAACGAUCACUCAGGUCUCACGCUGCUGCCCUUUCUUAUGCUUGGAGUCCUUUCUCGUGGAGUUCCAGCACUUACUCACCUGAUUUCCAGGUUGCUGUCUUUGCCAGGAAUCUCCGCCUAUUGACUUGGGGGGCAAAGGUAGGGCUGGGGGCCUCCGAGAAUCUUCUGGCCUGCUCUCUUUGUUCCAUGACAGUAGUUAACUACUCUUUUCUGUAUUAUUCCGCGUCCUGGGUGCCAGGCACUCCGCGUUACCUCACGGAUUGCCUCACGAUGGCCCUAAGAAGACACUCGUAGUGUGAGUCCCACUUUCCACAGAAAUGGAGGCUCAGAGAGGGCAAGCAACUUGUCCAUGGUCAUUCCGUUAUCAAGUGCCCGAUCCAGGAUUUGAACUCAAGGCUACUGGUUUGUCAGCUGGAGGCGCUUCUCGGGAAGUGAUUACCGAAGUGGUACCGAAAACGUUCGCGUGCCCGAGGUCGUCCACGCCAGCAGGUGAUCUUGCUACGCUCACUCCUGCUACAGCUCCGGAAAGACUUUCUGCCCCGCAGCUGGAAUGGGCCCAGCUGGAGCUGAAAGAGCGGAAGCUGAAGUCCCAGAGCGAUUCAAGAGCCGCGUAAAACCCUCGGCUUGCUCGCCAUUAUUUCCAGGAACGCCAAGAAGCAGGUGGUAAUAUGCGCAAAUUUUCAGCUUCUGCAUGCACCUACCAGGUCAAGCUCAGGCUCCUGGACCGGUCACGCCAGGACCCUCUGCCUCCCCCCGCCCUAUUCAGUCCUCAGAUGGUGCUCAGGCUCACAGUGGGCCAUGUAUGUGUGCAAUGUGUAUGUGCAUGCGUUUUCGAGUUUCUGAAAGUGCUCACCAGGGUUUAACGCCCAUGGCUAAUUUCAGCCCCCCCCAGCAGGGGCCUCUGAGAGUGGGGUAUCUGGACUGAUGUACCUCGUCACAUCCAUCCCCGAUUAGCCCCAUUUUUAAGUGAAGAAACCGAGAUUGGGGAUCACCCAGCUGUUAGGGUUGGACCUGGCCUUGUCACCCAGACGCUCUGAGGCCACGCUGAGGUCUUCCAGACCCAUUUCAUCUGCUCGAUUAAGCCGUGAAGCCAAGACACGUCUUCUAGGCGGAGAUCAGCAAUAAGCCAUCUACAGCCUGGGGGCCAAAUCCAGCUCCCUGCUUGUUUUUGUGGAUAAAGUUUUAUUAGAACACA